UCAGACAUCCUGUCUUGCUGUCUGUUCUUUGUGUCCCUUGACCCUUCAUUCUCUCCUCCAGGUCGUCGACCCCCGUUGAUAGUCCCGUGGGUCGGGACAACUGGCGCCCAACGUGGGGCCCGACAGACCAGAGAGGCGAGAACGUCGCCCCCAGGAGGGUGGGCCCGGGCCCACCCAUGAAAGGAGGUGUCUGCAGCUAGACCCUCGCCAGAGUCACCACGUUCUGAACCUGGCGUGAGACAGACUUGUGUAUACUCAAUUGGCGACGCAUUUAGGAAGGUGGGGGAAGAAUAAAUCUACAUAGGGACUGAUGAAGCAGCCCAAUUCACUACAGUAAUUUAGAAGGGCACGUGACUUCAUUUCUGGAUCUCAGUAUCAUCAUGCAAAGGAUUAGUGUGGUAAGCAAUUAUGAGGUCUGAAAUUCCUGCUGCCGUUUUACUCCAUGACAGAAGUCAGUCUGAAGACAAAAAGGGGACUGCUGGUUGAACUACACAGAGUCAGAGUCUGAUCAAACUCUACAUGAGCCAUUAUUUCUGUAAUAACUUUAUUUCCCUUUAUUUCUGUUUGCAAGGGUAUGUAUCCUUUGAUUGAUUUGUUUAUUUCGUUUUCUGUCAUUUCCAGGGCUUUUGUAUAAGAGAUACUCUAGCACAAGCUCAUUCUAUCACUUCCGAAUGGCUUCCAUUGUAAGAAUACUGUAACCACUACUUCUACCUUUCAAAAUACCCUGAGAUUUUAUUAUUAUUGCCACCUCUCAA